GGAGGGAUAAGUUAAUGUUUAAACUGUGUGGUUCAUGUUCACGUAAUACGGAUAUCGUUUCCUCCU
rnacentral:tRNA from 1 species